rnacentral:lncRNA from 1 species
CACCAAAAGUAUUUAAGCCACACACUUUCUGAGCCUUCUUUGUCUACCUCAAUAUGAUAUAGAAGUAAAGCUAACCACGGGAGAACUUGGCGUGUCCUGUGUUUAUUUCCUGCGGGACAGGGAUAAGCUCGGGAUACUUGGUGCUCGAAACCCGGGGAGAAAACGCCUUAACAACGCGCACACCAGAGGAGACCCUUCUAAUCGAAGCAGGUUCAGAACCGAGGUGGAUCUAAAACUCCGAGAGCAUACUGGAUCCUUGAGGAAAAGAAAAAAUUAUAUCAGGCAUUUCCUGUCUUUGAAGCUGCAGAUGGAGGG